GAUUUGUUCCAUUUGGAUACCAUAGUCCAAGGUUCUUAGUACCUUUGAGAUAUUUUAAAAUUCUUUUAACAGCAGUAAGAUGUGAUUCUUUAGGAGCAGAUUGAAAUCUAGCACAUCUUCCUUUAUAUAACCAUUCAGAAAGGCGCUCUUAACAUCCAUUUGAUAUAGCUUGAAUUUCAUUGUGCAUGCAAUGGCUAAAAGUAUUCUGAUUGCCUC
rnacentral:lncRNA from 1 species